rnacentral:rRNA from 1 species
AUUGAACGCUGGCGGCAUGCUUUACACAUGCAAGUCGAACGGUAACAGGGUGCUUGCACCGCUGACGAGUGGCGAACGGGUGAGUAAUGCGUCGGAACGUGCCGAGUAGUGGGGGAUAACGCAGCGAAAGUUGUGCUAAUACCGCAUACGUACUGAGGUAGAAAGUGGGGGACCUUCGGGCCUCACGCUAUUCGAGCGGCCGACGUCUGAUUAGCUAGUAGGUGAGGUAAAGGCUCACCUAGGCGACGAUCAGUAGCGGGUCAGAGAGGAUGAUCCGCCACACUGGGACUGAGACACGGCCCAGACUCCUACGGGAGGCAGCAGUGGGGAAUUUUGGACAAUGGGCGAAAGCCUGAUCCAGCCAUGCCGCGUGUCUGAAGAAGGCCUUCGGGUUGUAAAGGACUUUUGUCAGGGAGGAAAUCCCUAGUGCUAAUAACACUGGGGGAUGACGGUACCUGAAGAAUAAGCACCGGCUAACUACGUGCCAGCAGCCGCCGUAA